CGGAGCUGGGGAAGGGUCUGGAGCACGUCCUAUGGGGAGCGGCUGAGGGAGCUGGAGGUGUUCAGCCUGGAGAAAAGGAGGCUCAGGGAGGGCCUUGUCAUUCUCUACGACUACCUGAACGGAGGUUGUAGGCAGGUGGGGAUCGAUCCCUUCUCCCAGGCAACAAGCAACAGGGCAAGAAGACAUCGUUUUAAGCUUCGCUGAGGGAGGUUUAGGUAGGACAUUAGGAGGAAUUUCUUCGCAGAAAGGGUGAUUUAACGCUGGAAUGGGCUGCCCCAAGAGGUGGUGGAGUCACCAUCCCUGAAGGUGUUCAGGGAAAGACUGGAUGUGGCACCAGUGCCGUGGUCGAGUUGACGUGGUGGUGUUGGGUCAUAGGUUGGACUUAAUGAUCUCAGAGGUCUUUUCUGACCUGAUGGAUUCUGUGGUUCCAUCUGUGUGUUAGUGGAAUUUGAAGCAUAUCACAGAGAUGUGCCAUUGAGGUUGCCCUGCCCAGAUGCCCAGCUUUGGCACCUGUCCAGCUGUACAGAGGGCCAGCUCAGUUUAUUACCUGGAACACUGGGUGUGCAAGAUGAACUAGCAUUUUGUACUGCGAGCAGAGACAGCACCAAGAAUGGAGCCUUGAAGAGCUGGGGAACAACACAGCCACUUUCAAGGCCAGCAGACUGUUGUACUGCUUCAUCUGUAUUACCUACUACACCCUAAAAAGCCCGUAUGUGCCUACUGCUAUGGAUGGCUGUCUCUUACAGGAGAGGACAGCUCUGCUCAAAGCUGUAGUUCUG